AUUGGCUUCAUACAUGUCAAAGCCUGGUCUUGUCAUAUCUCAGAAGCUAAGCAAAGUGGGUCCUGGUUAGUCCUUGGAUGGGAGACUGCUGAGAAUAUACAGUGCCAGUU
rnacentral:rRNA from 1 species